UACGGGGGGGGGCAAACGUUGUUCGGAAUUACUGGGCGUAAAGGGCUCGUAGGCGGCCAACUAAGUCGGAUGUGAAAUCCCCAGGCUCAACCUGGGAACUGCAUCCGAUACUGGAUGGCUUGAAUUCGGGAGAGGGAUGCAGAAUUCCAGGUGUAGCGGUGAAAUGCGUAGAUAUCUGGAGGAAUACCGGUGGCGAAGGCGGCAUCCUGGACCGACAUUGACGCUGAGGAGCGAAAGCCAGGGGAGCAAACGGG
rnacentral:rRNA from 1 species